AACGCACCUUGCGCUCCUUGGUAUUCUGAGGAGCAUGCCUGUUUGAGUGUCAUUAAUAUAUCAACCUCUACAACUUUUGUUUGUUGAGUUGUUGGAUGUGGGGGCUUUUGCUGGCUUCUUUCUCUGAGGUCAGCUCCCCUGAAAUACAUUAGCGGAACGAUCCCCGUUCAUUGGUGUGAUAACUAUCUACGCUAUUGACGUGAAGUAGUUUGGCUUAUAACAGUCCAUUGACUUGGACAAAAUUUUCAUUAAUGUGACCUCAAAUCAGGUAGGAUUACCCGCUGAACUUAA
rnacentral:misc_RNA from 1 species